rnacentral:miRNA from 1 species
AUCCUUCCAGCCGGCAAGGUACAUGUACCUCGUUGACCGGAAGGAUUUCCUUCCAGCUGGCAAGGUACACUGGAAAGGUUUCCUUCCGGUCAACAAGGUACAUGUACCUCGCCGGCUGGAAGGAA